UUUUUGAUGGACAAACUGAUAAUUGCAUAGAAAUGAUUUGAGCUAAGGCUAGAAUAUAGAUUACAAAUAUUCAAAAGAAUAAGCAAAAACACUUGUGACAUUCGACUAUCCAUUACAUCAAACUGAUCGACACUCCAAACAAGCCUUUAAAAGUUUAAAUAACACCAACAAAGCAAACACCAAAAUAAAAGCUAAACAUUUAAUUACACUUCUUUUCUAUUAAUUUACACUUGCCUAGUCACUAGUUUUGCCAUUUUGGUGAAAUUGCAUGAAAGUCUAUACGAUGAUCCUCGACAAGUCAAUGAAUUGGGUUAGUCGUUAGGGAAAAUUUGUAGCAAUAGAUUCGUAGCAACAAUAAUCUAAAGUGAAGACUAGUCGACCCAAAAUAGAACGUAACUUUUUUAGGAAACGACAUUGUACGUUGUGAUUAACUUAAUAACAGCAACAACAUAACGUCAAAGAAAAAUUGCAUAAUGAAUGAAUCUGAUGUAUGAGUUACUAUGAGGCAUGUCAAAUUUCCCACAGAGGAUCAUGGCCGGCCGUCGGCGGAGGCUGUGGGGGACUUGAUCUCUGCCUAAGAAGCUUGCUCGUUCGGAGCAGCACCACUAGCCGUCGACAGAGGAGAUCGUGGUCUUCGGACUGAGAGAGAGAAGAACAGCUAAGGUAUGAAAAAGAAUGAGUUGGGUAUUAUCCCUCAAUUGAUUCUUAAAUACAUCUUAAGGAGUACUAGAGUUAACGGCAUGUACUUAAAUUGGGUUGGGUUCAAUAAUCCAUGAACUCAUAUGAUAAUUUCGGAAGUUAAGUAAUCAAAAUUCUAAGAGGCGAAUAUUCAUGUAUUGUUUUUUAAAUUUUACAUUCCUGAUAAUCUAAUAGCUAGGAAUCUUAUAUAUGCGAAUAUGACAUACGCCAAUUGGUAUAUCAUAUCAAGUACAUUAUUAGAAUUUAGAAGUAUGCAUCUAACAUUUGUGGUGAGAUAUAUAGUAAAAUGAGAAAAUUACAUGACCAAAUUUAUAAACAUAAAAAACCUAUUUUCAAUAUUUUUUGUACAAAUUAGGACAUGAGUGUAGGCCCAAAAUUAGUGGUACCAAAUCUGAUCCAAACUUUCAUAAGCAAAUGACCAAUAUACCCACCGUGUUAUCUUCUUUCUUCACCACCCAUAUCGAUUUGAUUCUCUCUCUCUCUCUCUCUCUCUCUCUCUCUCUCUCUCUCUCUCUCUCUCUCUCUCUCUCUCUCUCUCUCUCUCUCUCUCUCUCUCUCUCUCUCUACUCAGUACACACCAUCAUCGCCACCCCUCCUCCUCCACUGCCUCACCGCCGCCGCCGCAACAAUUGACUGUUCCCCUCAUCCGCGCCACACCAUCGCCGUCCUCUUCUUUCGUCAACGCCACGUCAGAAUCAACAGUAGCAGAAUCGCGUCUUCCUCUUAUCUAAGCUUGAUCGCAUCACCUCUGUCCUCCGACGCUCAUCGAAGAGGCUCGCCGCAUGAUGACGCUCGACAACUACAACGCCCGGAUCGUAUCACUUCAGUCCUCCGAUGUCGGAUCUCAUACAACAUCAAGCUCUUAGAUCUGGUUAUGCAAACUGAUGUGAUCUGGUCAUCAUAUUCAUAUCCUAGCACCUUGUCAUGAUUUGGUUUGAAUUUGAAGCAUUGCAUAUGUUGGAGCAAACCUUGGUGCAUGGAUUUGAUCUUCAAUUUAUAUGAGAUGUUCAUGGAUUUGAUCUUCAGUUGGUAUGAGAUGCAUGGUGUCACCGUCUCUCAUUUGUCUCACUCAGUAGUAGUGAUAUAAAUGAGGUUGAAUGGUUUGGGUUUUGGUUGAUUAGUAGGUGAUGUCAUAUAUGAAUGAGGUUUGUUGUGAGAACAUGAAUGAGAUCUGUUUAUCUGAAUGAGGUUUGCCUAUCGGGAUAAACCAUUGCUUGUUGUGGUAGAUGCAGUUUUAAAGUUCAUUAGCAGUGAUACAUACAGUAGUAGCAGCGCUAUCAUCAGAGUGAGCAGUAACAGCGCUAGCAUCAAAGUUGGUAGUAGCAGUGCGCUAGCAUUAGAGUCGACAAUAGCAGCACGACAGUAGCAGCUUUGUUUGAUUCCGGAGAAUUGCCUAAAAAAAUUGUAAUAACUACUUUUUAUCGGGUGCUACUGUGCUACUUGGCAGUAGCACCUAAUGUGCUAUGUGCUACUCGGCAGUGUGCUACUGUGCUAUUGUGCUACUUGGCAGUAACACCCAAUGUGCUAUGUGCUACUGUGUUACUCGGUAGUGUGCUACUAUGCUACAAGUCGACAGUAGCAAUUGAUAUGUACUGAAAGGUAUUUUAGUAAAAUUGUAGUGACAGAUGACAUGUUGAUAUUAGUUUGUCCUAAUUUGUUAAUAUUUGUCGUUAAAUGUGUAAGAUAUUGUGUAAAAGAUGUAUUUGUAAACUGAAAUUUGAUUAGUAACUUUAUAGUAAUUUACUAUAGUAAAAUUGAUAUCAUAUCAUAUCUAAAUUAUUAGGGGUAUGCAUCUAGAUUCUCUUUCACUCUUUGUGGUGAGAUUAAAUAAGUAUAAAAUUAUCUUCUGAGGAAUCAAAUUGUAAGAAAUUAAAAUUUGCGCCUAGCCUUUAACACUUGAUAGGAAUAAUGAGUAUAUAUGAGAAUAUGAUCAACCUAUAAUGCUG
rnacentral:lncRNA from 1 species